rnacentral:sRNA from 1 species
ACUGAGAACAGUCCCUCCCUUGUGCGGGUCGCACGGCUAGCCGCAGGUUCGGCCACGUCAAAUCCAUUUUCUAAAAAAGCAGAGAGCAGAGCUCUCUCUUCGCCGCCGACGCAGAAAGAAGGAGCUGGGGAGGAAAAAGCUGCUGCUUUUUGCGCUGGAGAUUCGUGGGCAAGGCUUCUCAUUUUCCCAGGCUGCUUCCCCUCCCGGGUGAGGAGCGCCCUGAGACUAAGGAAAGAGCCUGGAAAAUGGAGCAGACCUGGACGAGAGAUUAUUUUGCCGAGGAUGAUGGGGAGAUGGUACCCAGAACGAGUCACACAGCAGAAAUGAAUUUCCAUCUUUUCUGAACAUAAAAAAAAAAAGAAUUCUAAGAAGUUGACUGAAGCAUCUGGGUGCUUUUUCUUGGGCUCCUUCUGGCAAGUUGGCAGAAUGAAGGAAAGAAGCUUUUCCUAGUGGCACUAAAGAUCGAGGCCCUCCAGUGCAGUCACAGAUCUGGAGAAGUGGUGAAAAGGUCCCUUUUGUGCAGACGUAUUCCUUGAGAGCAUUUGAGAAACCCCCUCAGGUACAGUCCCAGGCUCUUCG